rnacentral:rRNA from 1 species
AUUGAACGCUGGCGGCAGGCCUAACACAUGCAAGUCGAGCGAGCGGCGGACGGGUGAGUAAUGUAUGGGGAUCUGCCUGAUGGAGGGGGAUAACUACUGGAAACGGUAGCUAAUACCGCUUACCAUAAGAUGAGCCCAAGUGGGAUUAGUUAGUUGGUGAGGUAAAGGCUUACCAAGGCGACGAUCCCUAGCUGGUCUGAGAGGAUGAUCAGCCACACUUGGACUGAGACACGGCCCAGACUCCGACGGGAGGCAGCAGUGGGGAAUAUUGCACAAUGGGCGCAAGCCUGAUGCAGCCAUGCCGCGUGUAUGAAGAAGUCCUUCGGGUUGUAAAGUUCUUUCGGUAGGGAAGCGUUAUCUACAGAAGAAGCACCGGCUAACUCCGUGCCAGCAGCCGCGGUAAUUC